ACAGGAGGUAGCUUGCUACUUUGCUGACGAGCGGCGGACGGGUGAGUAAUGCCUAGGAAUCUGCCUAGUAGUGGGGGAUAACGUUCGGAAACGGACGCUAAUACCGCAUACGUCCUACGGGAGAAAGUGGGGGAUCUUCGGACCUCACGCUAUUAGAUGAGCCUAGGUCGGAUUAGCUAGUUGGUGAGGUAAUGGCUCACCAAGGCGACGAUCCGUAACUGGUCUGAGAGGAUGAUCAGUCACACUGGAACUGAGACACGGUCCAGACUCCUACGGGAGGCAGCAGUGGGGAAUAUUGGACAAUGGGCGAAAGCCUGAUCCAGCCAUGCCGCGUGUGUGAAGAAGGUCUUCGGAUUGUAAAGCACUUUAAGUUGGGAGGAAGGGCAGUAAAUUAAUACUUUGCUGUUUUGACGUUACCGACAGAAUAAGCACCGGCUAACUCUG
rnacentral:rRNA from 1 species